UGAUAUAUGCUUCGCCACUUUUGUCAAAAUUGAAUUCUACAUUUUAAAUGCCAAUCUUUUAUUAUUUUUAUUUUAAUUAAAUUAAUUAUUAUAGAAAUUUAAAUGUAAGAAAUUAAAAAUGCCCAUGGCGAAUUCUGGAAAAUUCUUCUAUCAGGACCUUUCCCGAACAAGACGUGUAUCAAGCGUAUACUGAAAAAAACAAGCAUUCGAUAAAGCACAAAAUCAACCUAUCGAAAUAGAACUUGGGCAACGCCAGCUCAUUUGAUGGUGGCAGCACUGACUAGAGUAAUGGGCAGCACUUUGCAUUAGAAGCUCCAGGAAAUAUAAACAAACCACAAAAAUACAAUAAAAUAAUCAAUAUGUACAUAUAUAGAAAAAUAGUCAGCUAAUAAUGCAAAAUAUUUCAUAAUUAAUAGAAAUACAUGUAAACACUCUGAUAUUUCGAUUUCUUUCGACAUCUAUUAGCUUGCAUAUGUAUAUUGAAACUGUGUUGGCUUCCAUGGAGGACGACGGCAGAUCUGAUCUGCGGUUGGCACAAACUUAGUCAUUGAAUGAUCGAACGGCAUUUAUAUAAAUCGAGAAGAUCAAUGAUCCGCCUUUCGACAGCCUUCUUCACACAUCUACUACUUAGCAACCUGCAGGCAAGGGCCAUCACGGCUGUUAUACGUUAUUCAAAGCAUAAAUGCAAUCGCAAUCAGCAAUCGCAUUAAUUUCAGCUACACAACGUGGUGCUAAUGCGACAAGUUCUGUUGCAGGCUGUUGCGGCUUCCUGGAAAGUGGCAUCGCAUCCCCCCAUCCGAUGCACCGAAUCGGAGCAUAGUCGGCGCAUUGAUCAGCGAUAUGAAAGUGGCAGCGCGUCGAAUGGCAGCGGAGCAAAGCCGGGCAAUCUCGAAUGGCCAUCGACGAACUGAGUGACUGACCAGGCCACUGGCAGGCAACGACUCCAGAGAUAGCGCUGAGCCAUGGCCAGCAAUUAUAAUAUAUACAAAAUGCAAUCGGGUUCAGAGGGCAAACGUAGAAGAAAUUGCCAGUGCCAGAAAGAGACGCCCGAUCUGCAGGAGCCCAAGAGAUAGAGAGACAGAGCGAGAAAGAGAGAGAGAGAGAGAUAGAGAAAGAGACUGUCAGCCAAAGGCUGGUAUCGGUUCAUUGGCAGCUUUGCACGUCGUCGUCGUCGUCGUCGUCAUCGUCGAUCAAUGCGCAGCCUGUAGCGCCGCAUCCAUAUCAAGAUGUUUGGCUUAUUGAGCCCCGAACCAGGCAAUCGUGAUCAACUGUGCAACAGAAUUCGGCAGCAAUUUUCCAGGCACACUGCAACUGGCGAUACGGCGACAGAUUCGUUUUGGGCGCUACGCAAGUCCAUAGUCCGCACGGACGGCUUGCCCAAAAGCCAACCAGAGCCAUGUCCAUGGCCAGUUGAAAUGCCAGCUGCGGGCGCCCACAACGCACAGAGAGCAAGAGAGACAGAGACAGAGUGGCCGUAGGCCGUAGGCCUUAGCAAGAGCUGCAGCUAUCCACAGCUCCACGUUUAAUAAGCAAUUUUGAUUUGGAGCAGAUUAUGUGACGGGCAAACGAGCCUCGGCACCAGGUUGCAUGCAACAUGAGGCGGCUACUGCAGCCGAAACGUGAGCUCCCCGAGUGCCAGGCGCAGGCGAAUUCGAAGGCACCUCACCAUAGCUUGCCACGUCUCGCUGCACUUGACUUUGUUGCUGACCCGGCAAAAGAUUUUUAACUUGCCCCAUGCUCUGGCUCUGGCUCUGGCUCUCCCUCUCUCACACACAUUCUGUGUUUCCCGCUCUGGCUCUCUUUGGAUCUUGUUGAUACUGUUUUACAUGGAACUCGUACUGAUUGCUUCUAGUCAUGCCCCGAUUUGCAGAUUUCCCAUUUUGUGAUAAAAGUGCAUCAUUUUCAUUGGAA